GACGAACGCUGGUUGCGUGCUUAACACAUGCAAGUCGAACGGAAAGGCCCUGCUUUUGUGGGGUGCUCGAGUGGCGAACGGGUGAGUAACACGUGAGUAACCUGCCCUUGACUUUGGGAUAACUUCAGGAAACUGGGGCUAAUACCGGAUAGGAGCUCCUGCUGCAUGGUGGGGGUUGGAAAGUUUCGGCGGUUGGGGAUGGACUCGCGGCUUAUCAGCUUGUUGGUGGGGUAGUGGCUUACCAAGGCUUUGACGGGUAGCCGGCCUGAGAGGGUGACCGGCCACAUUGGGACUGAGAUACGGCCCAGACUCCUACGGGAGGCAGCAGUGGGGAAUAUUGCACAAUGGGCGGAAGCCUGAUGCAGCAACGCCGCGUGCGGGAUGACGGCCUUCGGGUUGUAAACCGCUUUCGCCUGUGACGAAGCGUGAGUGACGGUAAUGGGUAAAGAAGCACCGGCUAACUACGUGCCAGCAGCCGCGGUGAUACGUAGGGUGCGAGCGUUGUCCGGAUUUAUUGGGCGUAAAGGGCUCGUAGGUGGUUGAUCGCGUCGGAAGUGUAAUCUUGGGGCUUAACCCUGAGCGUGCUUUCGAUACGGGUUGACUUGAGGAAGGUAGGGGAGAAUGGAAUUCCUGGUGGAGCGGUGGAAUGCGCAGAUAUCAGGAGGAACACCAGUGGCGAAGGCGGUUCUCUGGGCCUUUCCUGACGCUGAGGAGCGAAAGCGUGGGGAGCGAACAGGCUUAGAUACCCUGGUAGUCCACGCUGUAAACGGUGGGUACUAGGUGUGGGGUCCACUCCACGGGUUCCGUGCCGUAGCUAACGCUUUAAGUACCCCGCCUGGGGAGUACGGCCGCAAGGCUAAAACUCAAAGGAAUUGACGGGGCCCCGCACAAGCGGCGGAGCAUGCGGAUUAAUUCGAUGCAACGCGUAGAACUUUACCUGGGUUUGACAUGGAUCGGGAGUGCUCAGAGAUGGGUGUGCCUCUUUUGGGGUCGGUUCACAGGUGGUGCAUGCCUGUCGUCAGCUCGUGUCGUGAGAUGUUGGGUUAAGUCCCGCAACGAGCGCAACCCUUGUUCACUGUUGCCAGCACGUUAUGGUGGGGACUCAGUGGAGACCGCCGGGGUCAACUCGGAGGAAGGUGGGGAUGACGUCAAGUCAUCAUGCCCCUUAUGUCCAGGGCUUCACGCAUGCUACAAUGGCUGGUACAGAGAGUGGCGAGCCUGUGAGGGUGAGCGAAUCUCGGAAAGCCGGUCUCAGUUCGGAUUGGGGUCUGCAACUCGACCUCAUGAAGUCGGAGUCGCUAGUAAUCGCAGAUCAGCAACGCUGCGGUGAAUACGUUCCCGGGGCU
rnacentral:rRNA from 1 species